UACGUAGGGUGCAAGCGUUAAUCGGAAUUACUGGGCGUAAAGCGUGCGCAGGCGAUUGUGCAAGACCGAUGUGAAAUCCCCGGGCUUAACCUGGGAAUGGCAUUGGUGACUGUACGGCUAGAGUGUGUCAGAGGGGGGUAGAAUUCCACGUGUAGCAGUGAAAUGCGUAGAGAUGUGGAGGAAUACCGAUGGCGAAGGCAGCCCCCUGGGAUAACACUGACGCUCAUGCACGAAAGCGUGGGGAGCAAACAGG
rnacentral:rRNA from 1 species